rnacentral:tRNA from 1 species
AGCGCCUUAGUUUAUUUAAAACAUCGAUUUGUGGUAUCGACUCCCUAUAUUCAAUUAUGAUACUU